rnacentral:rRNA from 1 species
AGAGUUUGAUCAUGGCUCAGAACGAACGCUGGCGGCGUGCUUAACACAUGCAAGUCGAGUGCGCGUUCCGUAGCAAUACGGAAUGGCGCACGGCGCACGGGUGCGUAACACGUGGGUAACCUGCCCUUUGGUGGGGAAUAACUCCGCGAAAGCGGAGCUAAUUCCGCAUAAGAUCCGCAAGGAUGAAAGCCGAAAGGCGCCGAUGGAGGGGCCCGCGCCCGAUUAGCUAGUUGGUAGGGUAAUGGCCUACCAAGGCUUUGAUCGGUAGCUGGUCUGAGAGGAUGAUCAGCCACACUGGAACUGAGACACGGUCCAGACUCCUACGGGAGGCAGCAGUGGGGAAUCUUGCACAAUGGGCGAAAGCCUGAUGCAGCGACGCCGCGUGGGGGAUGAAGCAUUUCGGUGUGUAAACCCCUUUCGAUCCGGACGAAACCCCGCAAGGGAUUGACGGUACGGAUAUAAGAAGCCCCGGCUAACUACGUGCCAGCAGCCGCGGUAAGACGUAGGGGGCCAGCGUUGUUCGGAAUUACUGGGUGUAAAGGGUUCGUAGGCGGUGCGGCAAGUUGGGAGUGAAAUCUCUGGGCUUAACCCAGAGGCUGCUUCCAAAACUGCUGUGCUUGAGUGUGGGAGAGGCGCGUGGAAUUGCAGGUGUAGCGGUGAAAUGCGUAGAUAUCUGCAGGAACACCCGUGGCGAAAGCGGCGCGCUGGACCACUACUGACGCUGAGGAACGAAAGCUAGGGGAGCAAACAGGAUUAGAUACCCUAGUAGUCC